ACUACUUACUCUCUGGAUUACUUUGUGAAGUAGUCUUUUAAAUGCAUGUAGUCUGUGGGUGCCAAAUCCCCAGUACCAACCAAUUUGUUCUACAUACCUCUUGUAUAGGUGAAAUGAUCUGUAGCUUCCCUACUGUUGCAGAGAAACUGUAAAGAAUAUCCUACAUUUUCCCCCAAACUAGAAGUACUAGGAGUUUUCUUUUGGCUUUGCUUAUUUGCUAAGGCCUUUUAACAUUUUUUUACUUUGAAGUAUUUCACUGUAUGUAUUAAAAAUAUUUACUUGCUGAACAGUGAUAUUUGCUGCACCUAGGAAUGGUAACAAAAGAAAAAAAAGCAGUUCAGUAUGUGGCACCAGCUUGAAGUGUGAAGAAUAGAUCAAGAAAAAAAAGAAAGAGUUUUCUAGGACUCGAUGUUGUUGAGGGGCCUAGCUGUCAAAAUUGUAAAUUGCAUUUUGUUUUUUAAUUUUUCAUUGUACUUUCUUAGUCAUUACUUUGGGUGGGUAAAAGCUGUAUCUUAAAUUACACAGACACUAUUAUUUGCUGACUUACAUUACUGAAAAAUGCUUAAUUGCUCUCUUGCAAAAGUCUUGUAUUAAGAAUUCUUCCACUUUCAAAAAACAAUUUUACUUUUAGAAUGUGAUUUUUUUUUUUUUUUUUUUCAUUUUGCUGAUACUGGAAAUCCAGCUAGAAUAAAAAACAGGUAGGUAGUCUGAAUUUUCUUCAUGGAUUAAGAGACUGGCAGUAGAUGCUGCUGUCUGCAAGCAUGCUGGAUAUUUGGAGUACAGCUUGUAGGCUCUUCUGUAUGUCUUGACAACAACCAACCAACUGUAACUGUAGCUGCUUAAAAGAGGGAGAAAAAAGGCUUUGAGCAAAGAAGAGGUAGGAUUUUAUAACAGUGCAAGUAACUUUGUCUCUUCAUUCCCCUUUUGCUUCAAAUAGAGUCAUAUAGUUCACUGUAUGCAAAGAAGAGAAAUCUGACUUCAGAAUUUGUGUCAGAAGCUCACAUCAGCUCUGAAGAGUUUUCUGUAACCCAGACCUCUCACAGUUCUUGUACAGCUGCUCCCAGCUUCUGGCAUUGCUUGGAGCAGUUAGGCAGUCUAAGCUGUAACAGCUGGGUGGAACUUCUAGGAGGCUGUUUCUCAAGGCUGAUGAACAGAUGGAGGCUGCAAAGGGAAUGGUGGAGAGUGGGAAUAAAAACAAUUAUCCUUUCCUUCUUUUGAAGGGACUCUGCAGAUUCCAACCACUUCUGAAGAUAGGAUUGUCAGUGGAGAGUUGAUUGGUCUGCUCAAAUAUGUGAGUUUGUGUAACAUAACAGAAAUCUUAUACUUAACGGAAGAUCCACUUGUUCAAGCAGGCAUGGCAUCUGCAUCCAUGGUUCUGACUAUUUUCUAGUUGGUCCAAGAUAGCAAGAUUUUAAACAGAGAAAACGAAAGUACAGCAGAUUCCUGCUGAAGCAUGAAUAAUCAGGAAUGAUGGAAGAGCUGGCACCAUUUCACCAUCAGAAGCACUCACCUUCAGCAAGUUCAGGGUAAUCCCUUAACGUGAUUUUUGGGGCAGCACUGAUGGACUUGAACAGCUCAGCUGCAUCCAAGGUAACACAAAGGGGAUGUGGACUUCUAAGGGAAUUAGAUUUAUUUAUUAUUGUUAAAUCUGAUCUACGAAAUUGAUAUUUCCUGUAUAAAGCAAAAAACUGAGCUGCCCAAGAGUAUAGAUUUUCUGUAAAACCCUCCUUUCUGUGAUUCGUAUUUCACAGCAUGAAGGACAGCUUAUUUGCUAGCUGAAGGACAAUAUUUUCUAAUUCAUAUGGCAGUUUUAUACUCUGUUCAGAUAUUCUACUUGGUGAAAAUGCUAAGAAGACCAUUUUCAUUUUUAAAUCAGGAAAUUAUUUUCUGUGAUUGCCUGAAGAAAUGUCUCUUUUCUACCUAUAGUACUAAAGGAAAUAAAACUUGCUAUCCUGAGUAGCAACUGUUAUUAUUUUAAGGAUGGAUUGAGUGGUGUGUGAGAACACUUCAAUAAAAAUUAUAUGAAGUCUUAUUUUCAUUUUCUUGAAGACUAUGCUGAGG